GGCUACGGGGGCAGCAGGCGCGAAAACUUUGCAAAUGGCGAAAGCACGACAAGGUUAAUCCGAGUGGUUUCUGCUAAAUGAACCUUUUGACAUCCUACAAACACUUGUGAAAACCUUACAU
rnacentral:rRNA from 1 species